rnacentral:lncRNA from 1 species
CGGGCGGAGGAGGAGCGGAGCGGGGCCGGAGAGCCCGACGCGGCCGGGCCAUUGUCUGGGCGGCCACACAAAGCGGCCGGCCGCGCUGCGCGCCCACCCCGGCCCGGCCCCGCGCAACGCCCUCCUCGGCCUGCCCGGGGGGGGGGGGGGGGGGGGGGGGGGAAACUGAGGCCCGGAGUGGCCGUGAGCCCUGACGCGGGAGCACGGCUCGGCUCCUCCGUCGGGGGAGUUUUGUUUUCUGAAUCCCCCCCAGAGCGCCCCCCUCUUUCACACCUAGGGGAAAGCAGAGGCUGGAGGGCACCCCACUCCCUCCCCGCGGGCGGACCCCCGGGCCAGCGGGAAGGGCUGGGGGCUCAUGCUUCCGCUGCACGUGGGACCUGACUUCGGGGACCCUCUUUAAGGCCUGCGCACGAAGAUUCCCGUUUACCCACCACUGAAGCUGAGGGACGUUGGCUCCAGGUCCUGCAGCAGUGCAGCACCAAGGUCACCAGACUCACAGCAGAGGUUGAUGGUCAGACACCCCCAGGGAAGCCUCCAGACGACCACCCACCUUGAACUCCUGCGUUCCGGGAACUUUACCUCCCUGCUUCUCCCAGUGUGCAGGUGGGUCAGCGGGGUCAGACCAGAGUCCGGAGAGAAGGGCCAGGCAGCAGACUUGGAAAACUGGGCGCUGGGGUAGGCAGCAGGACGGGGAGGCCACAGCCUGGCUCAGCCACCAACUCUCACAUGGCCCUCUCUGAACCUCGGUCUCUUCUAUAAAAUGAGAGAAAAGAGCCGGCUAACCAUGGAGGUUUGGGGGCACAAAAGAAGAACAUAUCACGUAUCAACAGGGAAAUCGAUGCCAGUGCAUCACAGGAGCUGAGAAGGGUAAGACCACGGAUCCUAGCCUGGGGUGCCGAUCCCAACCUCUGCCCGGCUCUGAAGAUGGCAGGCCCCGCCCUGGCUCCUCUCCACCAGGCCCUUCUCCAGACGCCACCCCUCAAGCAAGAAGAUAAUGUGUUUUAUCGGGGGCAUUUAUUACCCACAAUUGCUACAUAAAUCUCCCUGCAUACACAUACAUAUACAUAAGAGGCGGAUAAAUAUGCGGGGCCGUGCCCACUCUCCCUGAUGGAGUCGACUUGCCCCGUAAAGAUAACGGGAAAUGAUUCAUAAUAUUUAUUUGACAGACAUGAUAUGAACCGUAAUAGCCUGUUGGGAUUAAAAAUAUCCGUACGUCUCUGUCACCCACCAAUGUGGUUUAAAUAUUAUAUAUGUGGCCACUGCAGCAAUAGGGAGAUGGGAACUGUUAUUGAUAGCGGCCAUAAAGAGAAGCCGUUUUGCAUUGAAGAAUGGG